ACUUUUUUUUUUUUUUAAUCCAACACAACUUAUUACAGGAACAGUGAGCUGGGCAUCUAUGUGUGUUCUCCUGGAAACUGAGCCCAAACUGGUCAUGAUCUUGAAAUAAGUGCUAAGUCUUAGUGCUCGUAAGCAAUGUGUUAAUAUUUAAAAGUGGAGACCAACGUGUCAGUUGUUUUCAUCUCUCCAUCUGCAGUCAUCCAUCAGCGGGACUGUCACUCGGGGCGGCUGGGAUGGCCAGAGGAUGUGAGUAAUCCUCUGAGUGACUCCACAGAACGACUUGGCUGAACUUUCAUUCAGCAGUCACCCUGAACCCUGCACACGCUGCCAAUACCGCAGCCAGGCUGCCAUUAUUGGUCAGGCUCUACCUGACUGAGUGGAAGGAAAUAGGAUGAGGAAAAAAAGGCUUUUGACUCAAUGGUAGUGAGGAGGGCCAGGUGCAUUCUGGGAACUGCGGUGCCCUAAGGGGGCCCCUGAAGGAGAGCUGAAGGGCGUGGCCCCCUCCUGCUGUGGUUUACAGCUCACUUGUCAUUUCUGCAGACACGUUGGCAGGGCAACCGGCACUUUUCCUCAGGGCUGGUGUUCGCACACAACAUAAUCCUGGCGGAGGCUGUCAUUUCAGCAACCUCCGUCUUUUUUAAGCACUUUUUUUAAGUUGUCAUUUGGGCUGUUUGUGUGACUUUAUGCAUGCCUGUUCAGUUUCAAGGGCAGCCCAAAAACCGUAGCGGCUUUUUUUAGCCUGUAGUGUUUGUGUGUGUGUGUGUGUGUGUGUAUGUGCGAGCGUUUGUGCGUUUGCUCAACUAUACCCACACGAUACCCUCUGGUGUGUCCUUGGGAGUCUGAAAAGUCUUUGGUCUGGCCUGAUUGGCUCUCUCUGCCAGAGGCCUGUAAUGAAUCAUUCGGAAAGAGGAUUCCACAGUGUUUUUCUCCGGCUCGGAUAAACACAUGUUUUUUCCAUUCACCCUCUCAAGGAAGCACCGAGCUUGUGAGUAACUUGACCUGCAUUUCAAAGACGCUGUUCAUCAUAUUGUAGUUGGCUUGGAAAGUAUGGCUAAACUUCCUCGGGCAACCUCAGAACUAUUGAAGAGAUAACAAGAGGGGAGAGUGUUUGGAGCAAUAAAUCCUGACACGAUAAUAAAUGGUAAUCAAGUUAGCAACUUUCAGAAUCUCUUGUGCCAACAACCACAGAUGUUUGUUGAUGUCUGUCUCGAAGCUUUCAUCAGUGUUACACGAGGACAUGUCUUUGUCAACAUGAAUUGUGCCCGACGUUCUCAGUGCCGAUGGCUAUUAAGUUAUGUAAUGUGUGCAUGCCAAAAUGAUCUGAUUAAUGAGGAGGAAAGUUGCAUUAACUUUUUUACAGUUAUGUUCAAAAAUGGCCUGAGCUACGCACAGUGGGUUUUUCUACAGUGUUCAAAUAUAUUUGGACCUAACAUAGAAAUGUAAUUGAUAUAUAAAGAGUUCAGAUGCAAAAGCCUCUAAGUGCCGUUUGAAAUUUUCUUCUAAAAUGAGCAUUUUUCUCAGGCUCCUAUAUGCUUAUGUUCAGUUAUUUCAUGUUAAUGGCAAUGAAAAUAACCUAUUCACUGCUUGGAGAUGAACUAGAUCUUAAAUAACUUAAAUAAUUAAAAAAAAAAUGUUAAUUAAUUUACUCCAUUGUAUGUGAGUAGGGCACACUUUUAAAUUCAAAAUUCUAAAUCAGUAAAAAAAAAUCCAAAAUAUGCUUAAGAGGUUAAAUUAAUUCCACCCAGUGAAUUUUAAAAUUAUAUGGUUUAGUCUUGGGUAAAGUGAGGGAAAUCUUUGACAUGAGUUCUUUUCAUUAAUUAAGUUAAUUAUAAUCAUCUAUUUAUUUCAAUGAGUUCAAUAUUCUAUGAACUUUAAAAGAUUUGCAAAUGUUUAUACAUCUCUAAAGUUGUUCAUAUGUAAAAUGUUUUAGAUUCUGUUAAUAAUGCACCUUUUUUGUGUCUAUGCAAAAAUGUAUAUGUGCUAGAAACAAAAUUUACAUAUGAGUACCUAUGAUUGCUAAUGAGAUCAUGCUAGUUGUCCACAUGCUCACAGCAUAGGAGUUGUUUGUUCAUGGCCCAAAUUACUUCGGAAAUGAUUUAUUUUGUUCUUGGUUGCUACCAUACUGGUUUGAUCAUAUGAGACUUUCUGCCUCUUCUUGUGUGAUCUGUUGGUCUAUAGCUUAAAAUGAUUUACUUAUCCAUAUAAAAGAGAAAUGUGCUUUUCAUUUUCAUCUUUGUCAGUCUCCAUUCAUUAUUUCCUGUUAUCAUUAUUCCAUUCUAUCUCUUUGUAUUUCUUGUUCCUGCAUUCUGAUUUCACCCUCUUUCUUUCAGAGGUUCUCCCUGCUGUUCUUUUUGUCACCCAUUUUCAUUCAAAGACUGAGAAAAAUGAGAAUCUGUCAAUCAAAUCAGGGCGCUGGUCGACCUCGAGGAUCAGAGCCACAGCUGCAGACACAGUAACCCAAGCUCUGUCUGGAGGCACCAGUCAUCCAAUCCACAAUCCAUCCAUCUCUCUCAUUCCCUCGCUUUCACCCUCCUCCAUCUCUCUGACAGGCUGUGACCUGCAUCCGUCCCACGCAGCACUCCUCUCCCCCAGGUCACCAUCCACCCCCCUUAUGGAACACUUAAUUCUUACGACUUCAGCAGAUUUUCCUCCUAAAAUCAGCUCAGCAAAUUCAGAAUAUUUGACACAUUCUGUCUGGGCCUCAAGAUGAGAGGAGGAAAUCGAAAGAUAUUUGUGCAGUUGACUUUACCUCCCCCAACAGGCCAUCUUAUACCUUCACAUCCUGAUUCCUGUGACCAGUUGAGAAAGAAGACCAAUCCAUAUUCAGUUUGUCCACCCAUAUACACAGAAAAACUUUUUUUGUGUGUGUUCAAAACUGCUCUAUAAGACUGAUGUUUUGCUAAACAUCAUUUUGAAAUCUGAUCCAUUUGUUCAGACAAUAAAGUGCGUAGUUAAUAUUGUUUGCUCUUAUGCUCAUCAAGGCUGCAUUUAUUUGAUAAAAAUACAGUAAUAUUGUGAAAUAUUAUUACAUUUUAAAAUAUCUGUUUUAUAGUUUAAUAUAUUUUUAAAUGUAAUUUAUUCCUGUGAUGCAAAGCUGAAUUUCCAGCAUCAUUACUCCAGUCUUGUCACAUGAUCCUUCAGAAAUCAUUCUAAUAUGCUGAUUUGCUGCUCAAGACACAUUUCUGAUUAUUAUCAAUGUUGAAAAAGUUGUGCUGCUUAAUUUUUUUGUUGAAUCCAUAAUAUAUAUGUUAUUCUUUGAUGUAUAGAAGACAUUAUACUGCCACUUGAUCAA